GAAGGCUUCCUUUGGUGUAUGUGAAAUGCAAAAAUGCGCCACAUAGCUUCACAAGCAGAGAGAUAUCGACAGUCUAGACUUUGUUUGCCAUGCAAGGAGACGAUGGCCUAUCCAUUCCACAAGGUCCAUGCAUGAUGUGCUUUUCCACCAGUUCAAAUCCAAGUGGGUCUUCAUUUUUGUUGGGUAGUUCCGCAGAAAUGAUUGCAUUUAUUUGGCCAAGGCUUGGUUGUUUCGGUGUGUUAUCUAACCAUAGAAGUAUAUGAGCGUGUGGGAGGCCACAUUUCUGGAACUCAAUGGUGUCUAGCACUGAAUGAAAUGUGAAAAGCAUAGUUCAUCGAGUUUCAUUUUGAAGACACGACAUUCAAUAUCAGGUCUGUCGUUCGCUGAUGUGCCUCCAUAAGUUGCCAAAUGAUCCUUUAUUUCUUGCCAAUUAGGGUUUGCAGUCAUUGUGAUGAAUAAAGUUGGAUUACCAUAUGCUCGACAUAUUGCCAUAGCGUCAUGAUAUUUCUCUAUCAUAUAUCGAGGUCCCCUUAUAAAACUGGAGGGCAAAAAUUAUUCUUUUCCCUACUUUUAUGGCUUCAGUGUCACCUUUACUCACUGCAUCAUAUACAUUGUUGUAUAGGUCAGCUCUUAACUGUUCUUGGUUGUCUUUUGCCCAGCGAAGUCUUUCUUGCUCAAUGGCUGUGUAUACAUCAACAACAUACUGGUGAAAUAAGCGUCCUGACUUUAUGAUUGUCAUUCCUUUCGUCAGUCUUGUUUGGAUUUGGUACGCAUAGAACUCUCUGAUACUUAUGUAUGUCCUUCUUCUUUCGCCAUUUUGUGUGACUGCAUGGGGGAUUUCUGUGUGAAACCCAAAUUCACCAAAAGGGAACAACAAUGGAUAUUGCAAGCUCAUGAACAAAGGAUGAUCGUCCCUAAUUUCUUGCAAGUGGCCUGUCUGCAAUUCCAAGAUUACAUCUCUGUAACCGGUAGUAGCAGUUAUAUCUCCCACAAUAAGACCCGCAACUUCUUUCACUUGAGGUAAAUCAUACUGCUUACCUUUACUUCUUUGACCAACCAAUCGCAUUCUUAAGUCUUGGACUUCUUUUGCUUUGUAUCUAUCUCUUCCAUUCCGGAAGAACAUACACAAACAAUUGUGUUCAUCUAACA